rnacentral:tRNA from 1 species
AGCGUAGCUUUGCAAGUCUGAGGCUGCAGGUUCAAGCCCUGUAAACUCUAUAUCAUGGGCCGCCCACGCACC